UGGGGAAUAUUGGACAAUGGGCGCAAGCCUGAUCCAGCAAUGCCGCGUGUGUGAAGAAGGCCUUCGGGUUGUAAAGCACUUUUAUCAGGAGCGAAACGCUGUCGGCUAAUACCCGGCGGAACUGACGGUACCUGAGGAAUAAGCACCGGCUAACUUCGUGCCAGCAGCCGCGGUAAUACGAAGGGUGCAAGCGUUAAUCGGAAUUACUGGGCGUAAAUGCGUGCGUAGGCGGUUUCUUAAGUCUGCUGUGAAAUCCCCGGGCUCAACCUGGGAAUGGCAGUGGAUACUGGGAGGCUAGAGUGUGUCAGAGGGUGGUGGAAUUCCCGGUGUAGCGGUGAAAUGCGUAGAGAUCGGGAGGAACAUCAGUGGCGAAGGCGGCCACCUGGGACAACACUGACGCUGAGGCACGAAAGCGUGGGGAGCAAACAGGAUUAGAUACCCUGGUAGUCCACGCCCUAAACGAUGCGAACUGGAUGUUGGUCUCAACUCGGAGAUCAGUGUCGAAGCUAACGCGUUAAGUUCGCCGCCUGGGGGAGUACGGUCGCAAGACUGAAACUUAAAUGAAUUGACGGGGUCAUAGCUGUUUCCUG
rnacentral:rRNA from 1 species